rnacentral:rRNA from 1 species
UGAGGAAUCUUGCGCAAUGGAGGAAACUCUGACGCAGCCACGCCGCGUGCCGGAAGACGGCCCUAUGGGUUGUAAACGGCUUUUAUUUGGGAAGAAUCUGGGGGUUUCGAUCUCCACUGACGGUACCAAUUGAACGAGCACCGGCUAACUCCGUGCCAGCAGCCGCGGUAAUACGGAGGGUGCAAGCGUUGUCCGGAAUCAUUGGGUGUAAAGGGUGCGCAGGCUGGCGCCUAAGUCGGAGGUGAAAUCUUGCCGCUUAACGGUAAAAUUGCCCCCGAUACUGGGUGUCUUGAAUCUGACAGAGGUCGGUGGAAUUCGUGGUGUAGCGGUGAAAUGCAUAGAUAUCACGAAGAACACCAGUGGCGAAGGCGGCCGGCUGGGUCAGUAUUGACGCUGAGGCACGAGAGCGUGGGGAGCGAACA